rfam:Ictidomys tridecemlineatus contig092847, whole genome shotgun sequence.
GGGGAUAUAGCUCAGUUGGUAGAGUGCUUGCCUUGUACACACAAGGACCUGGGUUCAAUCCCCAGCACCACCA